rnacentral:rRNA from 13 species
UACCUGAUUGAUUCUGUCAGUGGUGAUAAGCUUAUGUCCAAGAUUAAGCCAUGCAAGUAAAAGUGCCAGCUACUCGGUUUUCGGACCUUAGUUGAACUGCGGAUUACUCAUUGCAAUGUUUUGAAAAAAGCUGAAAAGACGUGUAAGGGAUAUAUACGGCAAAUCUGGGUCUAAUACAGGAUUACGUACACCUAGCUAUGGAUAAAGAAAUCGAAGAGAAUGGCCGUCCACUUAUUGCGGAUUGACAGCCGGAACCAACACCAUUUUCUGGUUGGUGGUGUAUUGGUGCAAAUAGGACAAUGGUUGCGGAUGAUAGUUGUCGGGCGUCGGAGAAUACGCUUGAGAAACGGCGAAUACUUCUAAGGAAGGCAGCAGGCUCGCAAAUUACCCAUACUUCUAAUUUUGAGCGGGUGGUAGUGACAACAAAUACCGAAACUUUCCUCAUACGAGGAGCUAUUGGAAUGAUUUUCUUUUAAACCGAGAUCGCAGGAUCUAUGAGAGGGCAAGUCUGGUGCCAGCAGCCGCGGUAACUCCAGCUCUUAAAGUUUAUACCAUAUCUGCUAUGGUUGGAAUGCAUUACUUUGGAUUCUAUUUGCCGGUGCAGCUUCGGUUGCGCAUGCCGGCGGAAUACUCCGAGUCUCACGGAGUGUUCAAAACAAGACAUUUGCUUGAACGAUCAUUGCAUGGGAUAUUGGAAAAGGACUAUGAGCUCUUAAUCUUGGUUUCGGCCUAGUAAUGGAUAGCAGGGUCUGCCGGGGGCGUACGUAUCGUCCCGCGAGGGGUGAAAUCCGUAGACCGUGACGAGACGACCAAGAGCGCAAGCAUACGCCAAGAAAAGACCCGCUAACCUCUGGGCGAGAGCCUGACGAUUAAAGACGAUUAGAUACCGUCGUAGUUUUAUCUGUGAACGAUGGGAACUGACUGAAGUUUUAUGCGAAGUACUACAAGAGUUGUUUGAAUUCCUGGAAACGUCGAGUAUCCCUCCAGGGGUAGUAUUGUUGCAAAGCUGAAACUUAAAGGAAUUGACGGAAGCGCACCACCAGGAGUGGAGCCUGUGGCUUAAUUUGACUCAACACGGAGAAACUUACCCAGCCAUCACGUUUAGUGGAUGGACCUGCGAAAGUGAGCGUUCUUGAUUUUACGAAUAGUGGUGCAUGGUCGAUUUUAGUUCGUGGGUUGAUCUCUCAGCUUAAUUGCGUUAACGAACAAGAUACAGAAACCCCAAAAGGUUAAUCCAAGUGGGUUCAACGGUUACUUCCAAAUUUCUAUGAAAGUUGUGCUAUAUCAGGUCUGUACGCUCUACGAUGGCUGGGGCCGCACGCGUGCUACACUUAGGUCCACAGCGAGUUCUUAAUCAGAGCGGGUAAACCCACUCUGACGAACCAAUGCAAUGGACCUUCGUGGAUUGGGAUUGUAAUUUGCACGUUUGCCGGCUAAUUCGAUAUCGUGAACAAGGAAUUCCUAGUAAGCGUUCAGUCAUCAUCUUACACUGAAUGCGUCCCUGCGCUUUGUACACACCGCCCGUCGCUACCGGGGACUCUGAGCUGCGGCGAGAAGAAUUUUUUUCUGAUCGUCCGCGGCUUGAACCCGGUAAAAGUCGUAACAAGGUACCGGUAGGUGAACCUGCAGCUGGAUCAUCG